CCAAGUUAGGUAAAUUCUAAGUUUGGUCCGCAAUAUUGCAUCAUAAUUGAUGAAUAAUACACAUAUUUCAUUGUGAAAAGUAAAACAAAAACUAAUGGAAGACAAUGUAGAAAAAGAGGAUAUAUCAAUAGUAAUAUGAUUUUUAUGGUGUUAUUAAUUACCAAACGGACUGUAUCCAUUUUUUCUUUUCUUUUUGUGAUACAUUAUUCUAAUUAAGUAAUUGGGUGUUUCACACAGGCACCCAGACCUACUCCUAUAGUUUGUUGUCCCAUAUAUAUAGAAAUAUGGGGAAGUGUCUUCCCAGUAGCACACAUAUAUAUACUUAGAUAACCUAGAUAUACAUGGGUCCAUUUGAGAUGUACGUAGCCAAAUAAAGAGAGUAGAUUUCCCCUGCUAGCUAAACACAGCGUGGUUAAGUAAUUAAGUAAGAGGAGUAGUGUGUUUAAUUUGAUGAAGGUGGAUAGGUUGAGUUGGGUUGGAGGAUAUCAUCGCCGUCUACCUCCAGAGCCGCUCUCUCGUUGGCAGUUAAAGUAGA
rnacentral:lncRNA from 1 species